GAUGAACGCUGGCGGCGUGCCUAAUACAUGCAAGUCGAGCGAACAGACGAGGAGCUUGCUCCUCUGACGUUAGCGGCGGACGGGUGAGUAACACGUGGAUAACCUACCUAUAAGGCUGGGAUAACUUCGGGAAACCGGAGCUAAUACCGGAUAAUAUAUUGAACCGCAUGGUUCAAUAGUGAAAGACGGUUUUGCUGUCACUUAUAGAUGGAUCCGCGCCGCAUUAGCUAGUUGGUAAGGUAACAGCUUACCAAGGCAACGAUGCGUAGCCGACCUGAGAGGGUGAUCGGCCACACUGGAACUGAGACACGGUCCAGACUCCUACGGGAGGCAGCAGUAGGGAAUCUUCCGCAAUGGGCGAAAGCCUGACGGAGCAACGCCGCGUGAGUGAUGAAGGUCUUCGGAUCGUAAAACUCUGUUAUUAGGGAAGAACAAAUGUGUAAGUAACUAUGCACGUCUUGACGGUACCUAAGCAGAAAGCCACGGCUAACUACGU
rnacentral:rRNA from 1 species